rnacentral:rRNA from 1 species
AAUGGGUAUGUUCCCAAACUUCUGAGCACCGCAGCAAGGGAAGUUUUGAUCAAAGCGGUUUGUCAGGCAAUUCCCACAUAUUCCAUGAGUUGUUUCAGGUUGUCCAAAAAACUAUGUAAAAAGUUGACUGUUAUAGUGGCUCGAUUCUUCUGGGGUGGAGAUGAAAGCCGUAGGAAGCUUCAUUGGAAAAAAUGGAGAGAUAUAGCUAUACCAAAAGGAGAUGGAGGCAUGGGCUUUAGGGAUUUUGAAAUGUUUAAUCAAGCUAUGCUUGCAAAACAGGGCUGGAGGUUGAUUACCACACCAAAAUCAUUGUGUGCUAGAGUUCUUAAAGGCAAGUAUUUUCAUGAUCAUGACUUUAUGUUAGCCAAGAACAAGAGAGGGUCAUCACACAUUUGGAGGGCAAUACUCCAUGGCAGAGAGGUACUAAAACUGGGGUUAGUGAAGAGGGUUGGAGAUGGCUCUUCUAUUCGGCCUUGGGAUGAUCCAUGGAUUCCAUCUAAUUAUGGUUUCAAACCUAUUGUGAAGCUCCCAGGUGCAGCCGUGAACACAGUACAAGAUCUGAUAGAUGAAGACACUGGGGAAUGGGAUAUCAAUAUGAUAAAAUUGCAUUUUGUUGAACCUGAUGUGAGUGCAAUCUGCAGGAUCCCCCUCGGUCGCUUCACCGAGGACUCAUGGGCGUGGCACUUUGAAAAGCAUGGGAAUUUCACGGUAAGAUCAGCAUACAGAGAGCUAGUAGCUAAAUGCCAUCAAAGAGUCUAG